rnacentral:rRNA from 1 species
AACGAACGCUGGCGGCAUGCCUAACACAUGCAAGUCGAACGAGACCUUCGGGUCUAGUGGCGCACGGGUGCGUAACGCGUGGGAACCUGCCCUUAGGUUCGGAAUAACUCUCCGACAGGGGUGCUAAUACCGGAUCAUGUCUUCGGACCAAAGAUUUAUCGCCUUUGGAUGGGCCCGAGUUGGAUUAGCUAGUUGGUAGGGUAAAAGCCUACCACGGCGACGAUCCAUAGCUGGUCUGAGAGGAUGAUCAGCCACACUGGGACUGAGACACGGCCCAGACUCCUACGGGAGGCAGCAGUGGGGAAUAUUGGACAAUGGGCGAAAGCCUGAUCCAGCAAGGCCGCGUGAGUGAUGAAGGCCUGAGGGUUGUAAAGCGCUUUUACCCGGGAUGAUAAUGACAGUACCGGGAGAAUAAGCUCCGGCUAACUCCGUG